rnacentral:tRNA from 1 species
GGGCCUGUAGCUCAAUUGGUAGAGCCGGCCGCUCAUAACGGCUUGGUUGCAGGUUCGAGCCCUGCCGGGCCCACCA